rnacentral:rRNA from 1 species
CGAGAGUUUGAUCAUGGCUCAGAUCGAACGCUGGCGGCAUGCCUUACACAUGCAAGUCGAACGGUAACGGGCCUUCGGGUGCCGACGAGUGGCGAACGGGUGAGUAAUGCAUCGGAACGUACCUUUCAGUGGGGAUAACGUAGCGAAAGUUACGCUAAUACCGCAUAUUCUGUGAGCAGGAAAGCAGGGGAUCGCAAGACCUUGCGCUGAUUGAGCGGCCGAUGUCAGAUUAGCUAGUUGGUGAGGUAAAGGCUCACCAAGGCGACGAUCUGUAGCGGGUCUGAGAGGAUGAUCCGCCACACUGGAACUUGAGACACGGUCCAGACUCCUACGGGAGGCAGCAGUGGGGAAUUUUGGACAAUGGGGGCAACCCUGAUCCAGCCAUGCCGCGUGAGUGAAGAAGGCCUUCGGGUUGUAAAGCUCUUUCGGCCGGGAAGAAAUCGUAUGGGCUAAUACCCUGUGCGGAUGACGGUACCGGCAUAAGAAGCACCGGCUAACUACGUG